UAACAUGUACUCGUCUUUUUAGAAAUAAGUAAAAUGCCAAAAAACAAGAAGAGGAACUUUUAACGUCAACAGAGGAACAAUUUCUUACAUAAUAACUUUUUUCUCUUAAUAUAAUGAUUCACAGUUCUCCUGCAUUUUUCAAGAAAAAAAUUUCUCACAUAAUAACAUCUGGUUAGUAAUGGGUGUCUUCUAUUGCUAUCUCAUCUCAGCUCUUUUGUGUCCACUGAAGAGAAUCAACAUGUUAUACAGCAGAGAGCUACAUUUGCUUCAUAGUAUAACAUGCUUUCAUACCAAAUUCAAUAGAAGAGGUAUUCUUAGCAAUCCUCUGUGCCCUGCCUGCAUAAGCCUAGCGAAGACUCAACUUCCAAAAAUUGGCAGGCUUGCAUAAAUUGUUUAUUAAUUAAUUGCCUUCAAGGUUGUGUACAAACUAUAGCACAUUUCUCAUCCAGAUACAUGGUCUCUAUAAAUUACAUUACCUACAAAACUCAUCUUGCUAGAGCACUACUAGGACCCCACCACAGAGCAAUCUCUUUGCAAAUAUAACGUGCUACUUCACAUUAAGGUCAUUACCCAGAGCUUCAGGAUCUGACAUUAUUGAUGCAGUCCCAAAAUGUAUUGAAUCUCCAUGUAUCCUCUUCUGCAGAUUCUCGAAAGUAGCCACUGCACUGGCAUCCAUGUCCCAACUCACCAACUGGCCACAGGAACUGCUGGCCCGGCUUGAUCUGGUCAUCUUGGAGUGACACCCUGGAGAAAAUGUUGCGUGCUCCCUUCAAUUUGGAGAGCAGCGCUGAUCAAGUCCAUGUACUGAUUUUUGCUUCAGAUUAGAAGCACACUUGCAGAGCGACUCAGAAGCAGACGUGCAGAGUGAAGCAGAACAAGACCUGAGCGAAUCAGAACGCGACUUGCAGAGCGAACCAGAUUUGUAGAGAGAAUCAGGUUGAUACAAAGAAACCAUGUAUGAACCAAAUCAGCCCAGUUGGGAAGCGAAAUGUUCCGAUCCCUGGAAUUAGUAAAGAUUUCAUCUGAGACUAAGGCAACUCACAAUACAUACUCUGUUUCCUCCGUCUCUUCUUAUCUCACUUAAUAAAGGCCAUUCACAGUCCCUUCCAUUUCAUCUGAGGCAUGUUCUGUAUUAUAAAUUUGACUUGACACACUCUAAAGAGUAAAGAAGGGAACAAGUCACUAGCUCAGCGAAUGAAAACUCUAGUCAGUUGCCUUCUUAUUUAUUUUGUUCUCUCCAUAAGGAUUCUAGACAGAAUAUAUGACUGUCAAAAUAUGUAUGUUUCAGGCGUGAGGCAUGUGAUGGAUGAUGAUGGAACUGGCUUCUCCAUGAGUUGCUUCCGUUUGGACUGACAGUAGUAUUACCAAGUUAGAGUUGUAAUAGGCUGCCUCGCUGAUACAAUUUAUGCCAAUCAUCGACACAGUUAUGUGACGCAGAUGCUUAUCUGCCUGAUGGAUUAUCGAUGACUGGGAACACUAUACAUGAACCUGUCUGUUCCCAGGACAAGAAGCACAAUCCAAGAAUUUCAGUGCUGCAUCACUUGAUUCCGGCGGCUGCCAAACACUUCAUCUCAAGGUAAGUCAAAUAAUGCAGUCCUUUUCAGUGUUUUCUUUGAACAUUUAUGAAGAUUUAACUGCAAGUUGUUUAACCUACAAUAUAUGAGAUCCAGUAAAGGAUCAAGCUAUCCCAUUCUGAGCGCAGCGGUAAAGUUAGAAAAAUAAAUCAUAUUCACAGAAAGAUACUGUGCAAAUUCAUUUAGAUCUUGUGCAUUUCUGUGGUGAUUAUGCCUUGCCAGGGGUCUAAAGUGAUUCAUGGUCUGAAGAAAAGUUUUCUUGCUCGUUGCCUCUAGGUUCACAUAAUCCAAGUAAACAUGAAACUUUUUGUUACACAUAGGAGCAAUACCACAAAUCAUGUCUUUUUAUAGUCAUGCACAUCAAUAACUACAGUUUCAACCGAUUGAUGUCUACUAAACAGGAUAUAUAUAGGUUACAUAGCAAAGAGAGAUAGGAGAACAAGCUUCAUAUCGAUGUUAACACAAUCCUAAAGAAGUUGUUCAUGUCUUUUUCUUAUAUUAAUAAGGCUAAGAAGUGCAGAGAGUCAAACGUUUCAGUCUUAAGCACAGAUUAUUUACCUUCAAGAUAGUGUACAAAUCACAGUAUAGAUCUCACCCAGAAAAAAAAAAUCGACCUGCGAGGGGCUAGCCGCCCCCCGAGCAUUCUUAUAAGGCCUUCUAACGCAGGCCGAGAAAUCCCCCGAACCCCGGCUCUUUCUGACCUUGGGUCUGGUGCCAUUUCCUAGAACCGUUACCCAGGCCGGGACCGUUACCGAUCUCACCCAAAUAUGGGUGCUACAAAUUCCAUACCACAAAAAAAA